UCUUCGGAGAGUUUGAUCCUGGCUCAGGACGAACGCUGGCGGCGUGCCUAAUACAUGCAAGUCGAGCGAAUCGAUGGGAGCUUGCUCCCUGAGAUUAGCGGCGGACGGGUGAGUAACACGUGGGCAACCUGCCUAUAAGACUGGGAUAACUUCGGGAAACCGGAGCUAAUACCGGAUACGUUCUUUUCUCGCAUGAGAGAAGA
rnacentral:rRNA from 1 species